UUUCUUCACUCAACGAGAUCUCUGAAAUCUGAAUUAAACACAAGAUUUGAUAAACCAAAACCCGUUUCUCUAAAACCCUAUCUCAUGAAUCAAAAUUCCUCCAGAAAUCAAACCAAGUAUAGUACUAUAUUUCAGUAACUGAAACCCUAAAAUUCGUUUACUUUUGUAAAGCAGUUGAAUUUGUGUAGAUGAUUUAUAAAAAUCAUGAAGUAAUUGAAUCGAAGGGGAAGGUGGUGGUUCUGUGAUUGAUUUAUCUCGGAGAAGAAGGAGUUGAUGCUGCUCUAAAUUGAGUUAGGGUUUUCAGUUUAGAUAUCGAGGUUGUUUGAAUUAAGAUGUAAAUCGAGUUGUUAAUGGAUGUAGGAUUAAAGGGUUGGUAUUAGAUUGGUGAUGACGAAUCGUGUUGUUGAAGAUCGAAUUUCAAUUGAGAUUUCUAUAACUUAGGGUUUUCCAUCUUCGCCAAUUAUAUUCUGAAUUUUUUUUUUAAUAGGAAAGAAAUUCAUUAAUAAUUAAGCUGGUUACAUAUUUAACCUCUCUCGAAAGAGAGAUUUAAGCCAAAGAGGGCAGUCCAGAUUCCAAAAAACUGGGCUACUUCUAGGGUUUGAUAGAAAUUGAGAUGAAAAUAGAGAUAAAUGGGUAAAUAGGUUUAUUGUGGUUGUGAUGUCAUGAAUUGUUUGUGGUUGACUGGAAUUGAGUUGAUGUUGAAGUAAUCAGGUUCUUGAGAAGAAGUUCUGGUGGCCUUGAAGAUUAUGGAACGGGUUGUGGAACGGUAAAAGGUGUAAAAUGAGUAAAUAGAAGAUGGGUACUGAGUUUUAAUGAGCAUGGUGGUUGUAUGAAUUGUGCAGGUGUAAGUGAAGAUUGAUUUGUUCUAAAAGAUAAGGGAUUGAUUAUGAGAUAGAGAUGCCAUGGCUAGGCAGAAGAGGUGGUUAUGAUGGUGAUACUUCAAGAAAGAGAAGAAAAUUUUGCAGGAUCUUGAGUGGUGUUUAUGCAUAUAAUGUCGCCGAAAGAGAGGAUCUUGAUAGGCCAACAACAAGGCUCGUACAAGAAUGUGCUUGCAUAGAGGGCUGGACUUUUGAGUGUAUACAUCAUUAAAAAACUAUAUAAUGUUCACUGACCACCGUGUCUUUGGGUUCGCUAGAAAACUAUCUCAAGAUUCUACAUCACUCUAUUUGCCUAAGUUUGUGCCAAUUUCAGAUGUGGAACCACGCUAGUUGCAUACUCAAGAAAGCAAACCAGAUCAGAUCGGUUAGACUCGUUUUGAUGGGAAGAUCAGCAUAAAAUAAGGAAAUACGUAGAAGGUGUUGGAUCUUCUUCGAGUGCACCAACAUGGAAGUAAAGCUGUACGGAGAGCUUCUGAUAUGGAGACCAUGCUAGAUAGAAGCUCAAUCGAAAGAAAUAUGGGCCAUUAAGGAUGAUCUCAAAAAUCAUGUGGCAACAUCGGAGCUGCGAGAAAUGCUAGAAGCAAAAGAGCAAGAUCUGAAUUUGAUUUGCGUGAUCGAUGGAAAAAGUUUUGAGAAAGGAAUGCUUAGUUUAUAUAAUUUUACCACUGUAUCUGUGUUUUCAUAUAGGCAAGCAUCACGUCAUGCCCCUCUUGCAGUUCAAAUGUCUUUUACCCAGUGCAGGUUGUAAACUAAUUAAUCUAUGAGAACUCACGUCACAACAGGGAAUAAUCUUUCGCUAGUUCUGCUUGUUUAGACUUAUGGCAAAGAUAGUAUUUCGAGCAAAACAAACGGAAACAACAUUCCUAUGGAGAUGACGAUGCUGAAGGAACUCAUGAGUCUGCUGAAUACCAUCGGACACCUAAAUAUCUUAAGUUUGUUUAACUUGGCGGGAGAGGCCAAGGGGGGUAAUUCCAGCUGCAACAAUGCCGCGGAUGGUCCAACGCUCUGAGUUUUGCCGCUGAAUUAUCAAGUCCCUAAGGACAUGCAUAAGUAGAGACUAAAUCACCAGCCCAAAAAAAAAAAGUGCAUCCCCCGAAAGUAAGUGAGCUAUUUCUUGUAGUUAAGCAGCCCAUCAUACGGAGUGUGCACAUUAAUCGAUAGAGAUCUCAUACCGUACCAAUUUUUCUUUGUGGAAAUCUCCAGUGAUCCUCAUAACACAACAACUUUCCAUAGGUACUCCAACAAAAAUGGUGAUAAGUCGGAAUACUGGAAGAAUGCAACUGAAACUCGUAAGAUCUCACGUUCUUCUUAUACUGUUAUUUAUUGAUCUGUUAACCGGUGCUAUUAAGAAUUUUGCAAAAUGAGGUAUCCCCCUCGAAUUCAGCUCUGCUACCCGGAGAUUAUUUUAAGUCCUACAAUGUGUUAGCCGUCUCCUUAAGUUGUACAAGUUCAAUAAAGUAU